GACGAACGCUGGCGGCGUGCUUAACACAUGCAAGUCGAACGGAAAGGCCCUGCUUUUGUGGGGUGCUCGAGUGGCGAACGGGUGAGUAACACGUGAGUAACCUGCCCUUGACUUUGGGAUAACUUCAGGAAACUGGGGCUAAUACCGGAUAGGAGCUCCUGCUGCAUGGUGGGGGUUGGAAAGUUUCGGCGGUUGGGGAUGGACUCGCGGCUUAUCAGCUUGUUGGUGGGGUAGUGGCUUACCAAGGCUUUGACGGGUAGCCGGCCUGAGAGGGUGACCGGCCCCCUUGGGACUGGGGUACGGCCCCGACUCCUACGGGAGGCAGCAGUGGGGAAUAUUGCACAAUGGGCGGAAGCCUGAUGCAGCAACGCCGCGUGCGGGAUGACGGCCUUCGGGUUGUAAACCGCUUUCGCCUGUGACGAAGCGUGAGUGACGGUAAUGGGUAAAGAAGCACCGGCUAACUACGUG
rnacentral:rRNA from 1 species